rnacentral:rRNA from 1 species
GCAUAUCAAUAAGCGGAGGAAAAGAAACCAACAGGGAUUACCUCAGUAACGGCGAGUGAAGCGGUAACAGCUCAAAUUUGAAAGCUAGCUCUUUUAGGGUUCGCAUUGUAAUUUGUAGAAGAUGCUUCGGGUGUGGCCCCGGUCUAAGUUCCUUGGAACAGGACGUCAUAGAGGGUGAGAAUCCCGUAUGUGACUGGGUGCUUUCGCUCAUGUGAAGCUCUUUCGACGAGUCGAGUUGUUUGGGAAUGCAGCUCAAAAUGGGUGGUAAAUUUCAUCUAAAGCUAAAUAUUGGCCAGAGACCGAUAGCGCACAAGUAGAGUGAUCGAAAGAUGAAAAGCACUUUGGAAAGAGAGUUAAACAGUACGUGAAAUUGUUGAAAGGGAAGCGCUUGCAACCAGACUUGCGCGCUGAUGAUCAUCCGGGCUUCUGCCCGGUGCACUCGUCUGCGCUCAGGCCAGCAUCGGUUUUGGUGGUGGGAUAAAGGCCUUGGGAAUGUAGCUUCUUUCGGGGAGUGUUAUAGCCCUCGGUGCAAUGCCGCCUACCGGGACCGAGGACCGCGCUUCGGCUAGGAUGCUGGCGUAAUGGUUGUAAGCGACCCGUCUUGAAACACGGACCAAGGAGUCUAACAUCUAUGCGAGUGUUUGGGUGUCAAACCCAUACGCGUAAUGAAAGUGAACGGAGGUGAGAACCCUUAAGGGUGCAUCAUCGACCGAUCCUGAUGUCUUCGGAUGGAUUUGAGUAAGAGCAUAGCUGUUGGGACCCGAAAGAUGGUGAACUAUGCGUGAAUAGGGUGAAGCCAGAGGAAACUCUGGUGGAGGCUCGCAGCGGUUCUGACGUGCAAAUCGAUCGUCAAAUUUGCGUAUAGGGGCGAAAGACUAAUCGAACCAUCUAGUAGCUGGUUCCUGCCGA